AAAAACAUGUCUUUUUGAUUAUAAUUUAAAGUCAGGCCUGCCCAAUGAUUAUUUUAAAUGGCUGCAGUAUUUUGACUGUACAAAGGUAGCAUAAUCAUUAGUUUCUUAAUUAGAAGCUGGAAUGAAUGGUUCGAUGAAAAAUUAACUGUCUCGAUUUAAUUUUAUUAGAAUUUUAUUUUUAAGUGAAAAAGCUUAAAUUUUAUAUAAAGACGAGAAGACCCUAUAGAGUUUUAUAUUUUUAUAAUUUUUAAUUUUAUGUUUUUAUAUUUAAUUAUUAAUAAAAGUAUUUUGUUGGGGUGACAGAAAAACUUGAAUAACUUUUUUUUAUUUUUACACUGAUUGGUGAAUUUAUGAUCCUUUAUUAGAUUAAAAGAUUAAAUUACCUUAGGGAUAACAGCGUAAUUUUUUUUGAAAGUUCUUAUUGAUAAAAAAGUUUGCGACCUCGAUGUUGGAUUAAAAUUUAUUUUUGGUGCAGAAGCUAAAAAAUUAGGUCUGUUCGACCUUUAA
rnacentral:rRNA from 1 species